UUCUCCUCCAACUAUCCUCCUGUCCACUCUGCGGGUCUGAUGGAGUUCCUCCAGGGAUUGAGCCUCAAAAUCUCCUUCAGUGGCCUUUUUAAAUCUGCCUCCUUUGGUCGCCUCCAUUGUCUGACAUUACAAGAUAUGUCAAUGAUUGACAUCAAAUGCCAUGAUAAUAUCCUCAGUGGACCAGUUCUGCAGUGUGACUAUGAUAUGGCUCCUGGACGAGUAAUCCUGAACCUGGAACUUGGAAUUUUCAAAAUUCACCCGAAAUUCUUUGAAGUAUCAAUAUUUUUCUAUAAAAUUAUUUUCUAUUUAUAUUAAAAUAUUUGUUAUCUAUUGUUGCAUAACAAAUUAUUUCCAACCUCACCAACUAAAACUAAAAUAAAUUUUAAUUGUCUA